GAUGAACGCUGGCGGCGUGCUUAACACAUGCAAGUCGAACGAUGAAGCCCAGCUUGCUGGGUGGAUUAGUGGCGAACGGGUGAGUAACACGUGAGUAACCUGCCCUUAACUCUGGGAUAAGCCUGGGAAACUGGGUCUAAUACCGGAUAGGAGCGCCUACCGCAUGGGGGGUGUUGGAAAGAUUUAUCGGUUUUGGAUGGACUCGCGGCCUAUCAGCUUGUUGGUGAGGUAAUGGCUCACCAAGGCGACGACGGGUAGCCGGCCUGAGAGGGUGACCGGCCACCCUGGGACUGAGACACGGCCCAGACUCCUACGGGAGGCAGCAGUGGGGAAUAUUGCACAAUGGGCGAAAGCCUGAUGCAGCGACGCCGCGUGAGGGAUGACGGCCUUCGUGUUGUAAACCUCUUUCAGUAGGGAAGAAGCGAAAGUGACGUUACCUGCAGAAGAAGCACCGGCUAACUACGUG
rnacentral:rRNA from 1 species